rnacentral:rRNA from 1 species
CCUACGGGAGGCAGCAGUGGGGAAUUUUGGACAAUGGGCGCAAGCCUGAUCCAGCAAUGCCGCGUGCAGGAUGAAGGCCUUCGGGUUGUAAACUGCUUUUGUACGGAACGAAACGGUGAGCUCUAAUACAGUUUGCUAAUGACGGUACCGUAAGAAUAAGCACCGGCUAACUACGUGCCAGCAGCCGCGGUAAUACGUAGGGUGCGAGCGUUAAUCGGAAUUACUGGGCGUAAAGCGUGCGCAGGCGGUGAUGUAAGACAGAUGUGAAAUCCCCGGGCUCAACCUGGGACCUGCAUUUGUGACUGCAUCGCUAGAGUACGGUAGAGGGGGGAUGGAAUUCCGCGUGUAGCAGUGAAAUGCGUAGAUAUGCGGAGGAACACCGAUGGCGAAGGCAAUCCCCUGGACCUGUACUGACGCUCAUGCACGAAAGCGUGGGGAGCAAACAGGAUUAGAUACCCUGGUAGUCCACGCCCUAAACGAUGUCAACUGGUUGUUGGGUCUUCACUGACUCAGUAACGAAGCUAACGCGUGAAGUUGACGCCUGGGGAGUACGGCCGCAAGGUUGAAACGUCAAAGGAAUUGACGGCUGGAGACGNGCGACGGCGACGACGAGGGGAGGAGG